GAUUUCUGGUUUAAUACACCUGGCCCGCGGCCUCUAGGCUUGUGAGUGCCGGCGCGCGUUGACCAUCCUUCUAGAAAACGAUUCUGCCAUUCACUUGGUUGGGAUUGCGAUCUAGAUCAUUUACUUUGAAAAAAUUAGAGUGUUUAAAGCAGGCUUUUGCUAUGAAUACAUUAGCAUGGAAUAAUAAUCUAGGACUUCUUUCUGAAGUAAUGAUUGAUAGGGAUAUUGGGGGUGCUAGUAUUGGCCGGCCAGAGGUGAAAUUCUUGGAUUCGGUCAAGACUGACUUAUGCAUU
rnacentral:rRNA from 1 species